UACGGGGGGGGGCAAGCGUUUGUUCGGAAUUAUUGGGCGUAAAGGGCGCGUAGGCGGGAUGGUAAGUCGGUCGUGAAAUCCCUCGGCUCAACCGAGGAACGUCGAUCGAUACUACCGUUCUUGAGGAUUGCAGAGGAGACUGGAAUUCCCGGUGUAGCGGUGAAAUGUGUAGAGAUCGGGAGGAACACCGGUGGCGAAGGCGGAUCUCUGGGCCAUUACUGACGCUGAGGAGCGAAAGCGUGGGGAGCGAACGAGG
rnacentral:rRNA from 1 species